rnacentral:rRNA from 1 species
AUGAACGCUGGCGGCGUGCCUAAUACAUGCAAGUCGAGCGAACAGACGAGGAGCUUGCUCCUCUGACGUUAGCGGCGGACGGGUGAGUAACACGUGGAUAACCUACCUAUAAGACUGGGAUAACUUCGGGAAACCGGAGCUAAUACCGGAUAAUAUAUUGAACCGCAUGGUUCAAUAGUGAAAGACGGUUUUGCUGUCACUUAUAGAUGGAUCCGCGCCGCAUUAGCUAGUUGGUAAGGUAACGGCUUACCAAGGCAACGAUGCGUAGCCGACCUGAGAGGGUGAUCGGCCACACUGGAACUGAGACACGGUCCAGACUCCUACGGGAGGCAGCAGUAGGGAAUCUUCCGCAAUGGGCGAAAGCCUGACGGAGCAACGCCGCGUGAGUGAUGAAGGUCUUCGGAUCGUAAAACUCUGUUAUUAGGGAAGAACAAAUGUGUAAGUAACUAUGCACGUCUCGACGGUACCUAAUCAGAAAGCCACGGCUAACUACGUG